rnacentral:sRNA from 1 species
AAGAAACUAACAUAUUGAAGUAGUGAAAAGACAAAAUGGUACAACAUUGAGAGACACGCGCUAAAGAGGAUGUGAUGAGAUGUGUGGAAGAAGAGACAAUAAUCCAAUGUUAAAAAAAUAAUAUUACUCCAAAUGAUUUUAAUUGUUGAAUUAGUGCUAUAAAAAUAACUAAUUAAAUUUUAAAAUAGUUUUAUAAAAACAUAAAUUUUUUAUAAUUUAAUACAAAUUAUUUAAAAUAGUGAAUAAUGUUUUGUAUAAAACAGACAAAUAAAAUAGUAUAGAAUGAAACUAAAUAGUAUAGAACAAAACGUAGAUCCAAAUGACUGAAUUAAACCGCUUUGAUCAAAAAAUACUAUACCCUAAGAUACAACAUUGGCAACCCAAAUAACCAAGAUUAAUUGUAGCGGUGACGUUGACGAUGGUAACAUUCUGACAGUUUUUUUUACCCAUUCGUUAAUCAAUAGUUUAAACAGACAAACAAAUCGAAAUCGAAUGAAUUGGUUUGUUUGUAGGAUAAGUUAAUAGAAUUACAGAAACAUUUUCUGGGCAAAUCAAAGAAGUUGGAAUCUUUAAUAGACGUCAUCGGUGAUGCAAACGGAUAGAGAGAGAGAGAGAGAGAGAGAGAGAGAGAGAGAGAGAGAAGAGAGAAGAAAGAGAGUUACAAUUAGACUGGAGAAAAAAUAUCGAAAAAGAGAGAGGAAAGAGGAAAAGAAAAGAGAGAAAUGGGCAAAAUUGGAAAUAGUAUACAAAAUACAAAAUAUAUCAGCCAUCUCUUUUGUUGAUGUCAUUUUCUUAAUUAUAAUAUUUUUGUGCGUUAGUUUUGCCAAUUGCCCUUCAACAUUUUGAUAUUUAAUACGCAAAAUUUAAGUUGUUUUAAUAUUAUAUUAUUUUAUUCACUAAGACAAUGUUAAUUUAAUAUUGCAUU